rnacentral:rRNA from 1 species
AACGAACGCUGGCGGCAUGCCUAACACAUGCAAGUCGAACGAAGUCUUCGGACUUAGUGGCGCACGGGUGCGUAACGCGUGGGAAUCUGCCCUUGGGUACGGAAUAACUCAGAGAAAUUUGUGCUAAUACCGUAUAAUGUCUUCGGACCAAAGAUUUAUCGCCCAAGGAUGAGCCCGCGUAAGAUUAGCUAGUUGGUGGGGUAAAAGCCUACCAAGGCGACGAUCUUUAGCUGGUCUGAGAGGAUGAUCAGCCACACUGGGACUGAGACACGGCCCAGACUCCUACGGGAGGCAGCAGUGGGGAAUAUUGGACAAUGGGCGAAAGCCUGAUCCAGCAAUGCCGCGUGAGUCAUGAAGGCCCUAGGGUUGUAAAGCUCUUUUACCAGGGAUGAUAAUGACAGUACCUGGAGAAUAAGCUCCGGCUAACUCCGUGCCAGCAGCCGCGGUAAUACGGAGGGAGCUAGCGUUGUUCGGAAUUACUGGGCGUAAAGCGCGCGUAGGCGGCUUUUUAAGUCAGAGGUGAAAGCCCGGGGCUCAACCCCGGAAUUGCCUUUGAAACUGGAAAGCUAGAAUCUUGGAGAGGUCAGUGGAAUUCCGAGUGUAGAGGUGAAAUUCGUAGAUAUUCGGAAGAACACCAGUGGCGAAGGCGACUGACUGGACAAGUAUUGACGCUGAGGUGCGAAAGCGUGGGGAGCAAACAGG